rnacentral:rRNA from 1 species
AACGAACGCUGGCGGCAUGCCUAACACAUGCAAGUCGAACGAGACCUUCGGGUCUAGUGGCGCACGGGUGCGUAACGCGUGGGAAUCUACCCUCAGGUUCGGAAUAACUCAGAGAAAUUUGAGCUAAUACCGGAUGAUGACGUAAGUCCAAAGAUUUAUCGCCUGAGGAUGAGCCCGCUUAGGAUUAGGUAGUUGGUGAGGUAAAGGCUCACCAAGCCGACGAUCCUUAGCUGGUCUGAGAGGAUGAUCAGCCACACUGGGACUGAGACACGGCCCAGACUCCUACGGGAGGCAGCAGUGGGGAAUAUUGGACAAUGGGCGAAAGCCUGAUCCAGCAAUGCCGCGUGAGUGAUGAAGGCCUUAGGGUUGUAAAGCUCUUUUACCCGGGAUGAUAAUGACUGUACCGGGAGAAUAAGCUCCGGCUAACUCCGUG